rnacentral:rRNA from 1 species
UUUUAAUAUAUCUAGUUUUUUAAGAAAUAAAUUUAAUUUAGAUAACUUAUUUUAAUAAUUUAAUUUUAUAAAUUAUUAUAAUGAGUUAUUAAUAUUUUAAGGGAUGAGCUUUAAAAUAAAAUUUUAUAAAUAACUUUUAUUAAGUAAUAAUUGUAAGCUUAGAAUUAGCUAUCAAUAGAAAUUAUGUUUUAAUUUAUUUUUUUAAUUAAUAUUAUUUAUUAUUUAUUUUAAAUUUUUUAUUAAAAUAUAAAUUUUAAUUUUUUAAAUUUAUUAAUAAUGAUAAAAUUAGUAAAUUAAAUAAUUAUAUAAAUAAAUCUAUAUUUUGAUUGGUUUUUAUAAUUAAUUCGGCAAAUUUUGUGCUCACCUGUUUAUCAAAAACAUGUCUUUUUGGUUAAUUAAUAUAAAGUCUGACCUGCCCACUGAAUAUAUUUUGAAGGGCCGCAGUAUUUUGACUGUGCAAAGGUAGCAUAAUCAUUAGUCUUUUAAUUGAAGGCUGGUAUGAAUGGUUGGAUGAGGUACAAGCUGUGUCAUAAAAAUUAUUUUUUGAAUUUACCUUUUUAGUCAAAAGGCUAAAAUAAAGUUAAAAGACGAGAAGACCCUAUAGAGCUUUAUAUAAUUUAUAUUUAAAUUAUUAAGAUUUUUUAAAUUUAAUUAUAUUAUUAUAUUUUGUUGGGGUGAUAAUAAAAUUUAUAAAACUUUUAUUUUUAUUAAUCAUUUAUUUAUGUUUAUAUGAUCCAGUUUUAUUGAUUAUAAAUUUAAGUUACCUUAGGGAUAACAGCGUAAUUUUUUUUGAGAGUUCUUAUCGACAAAAAAGAUUGCGACCUCGAUGUUGGAUUAAGAGUAAUUUUGGGUGUAGAAGUUCAAAGUUUGAGUCUGUUCGACUUUUAAAUUCUUACAU